CCCGCGCCCGCGCGCCCUCCUCCGCCAGGCCAGAGAACCGCUCUGUUAUUUUGGGGGCACUGCCAGGCUAAGCUGUUGAGGUUGGGGACACAGCGAGUGACUCUCCAAGAACAGCAUGUGACAAGCAGACCCUUCCCGGCAGUCGGCGCGGCUGAGAGCUGCCUCCGCUGCCCAUCCUGUCCAGGUUUCUCACUGCCCACAGCAUCUUUCAGCCCUCACAGCUUCAGGGCAAAGCCUGAGGCCCCUCCAGCUGCCCAUGAUGCAGCCCCGCCCCCUGCACCCCAGGUCCCUGCAACUCUGCAUCUCCCCAGUUCCCUGUCCCUGGCCUUUCCAGGGCACCUGCAUGCUUUGCUCUCACCUUGACCUCCACCUUCGCCCUCCCCAGCACACUGUCUCCUCUUGUCCUCCUUGGUCCCUCCCUGAGGAAACCCCUCUCCCCCACUUUCAGCCAGAGAAACCCCACUCCUCUGCCCACGCCCCCACCUGCCCUGCCCCUGUCUCAGGGACUGUCCACUGUCAGCAGAGUCUCACAGUUCUGGAACUUGGGGCAACUUGGUCCUCUUCCAGGCCUACCCCCUGCACUCUCUAAAGGGCAGUCCUGAGCCCAGAGAGGGGCAGGAGCUGCACAAGGCCACACAGCCUGUUAGUGGCAGAGUUAGGACUGGAACACAGCUCUCCCGAGUCCCUGCCUGGGGCUCCUUGGAGGACAUAUGGCUUCCCCACCUGGUGAACCAGAAUGGAACUCAAGGACAGGGACUAUACCAUUCCUUCCAGUGUCCCCCACCCCUCACCCAGAGCAGGACCCACAGGAAGCAACUGUGAAUACAAAAGG